AACGAACGCUGGCGGCAUGCCUAACACAUGCAAGUCGAACGAGACCUUCGGGUCUAGUGGCGCACGGGUGCGUAACGCGUGGGAAUCUGCCCUUGGGUUCGGAAUAACAGUUGGAAACGACUGCUAAUACCGGAUGAUGACGUAAGUCCAAAGAUUUAUCGCCCAAGGAUGAGCCCGCGUAGGAUUUGCUAGUUGGUGAGGUAAAGGCUCACCAAGGCGACGAUCCUUAGCUGGUCUGAGAGGAUGAUCAGCCACACUGGGACUGAGACACGGCCCAGACUCCUACGGGAGGCAGCAGUGGGGAAUAUUGGACAAUGGGCGAAAGCCUGAUCCAGCAAUGCCGCGUGAGUGAUGAAGGCCUUAGGGUUGUAAAGCUCUUUUACCCGGGAUGAUAAUGACAGUACCAGGAGAAUAAGCGCCGGCUAACUCCGUG
rnacentral:rRNA from 1 species